rnacentral:rRNA from 1 species
UACGAAGGGGGCUAGCGUUGCUCGGAAUCACUGGGCGUAAAGGGUGCGUAGGCGGGUUUUUAAGUCAGGGGUGAAAUCCUGGAGCUCAACUCCAGAACUGCCUUUGAUACUGAAAAUCUUGAGUCCGGGAGAGGCGAGUGGAACUGCGAGUGUAGAGGUGAAAUUCGUAGAUAUUCGCAAGAACACCAGUGGCGAAGGCGGCUCACUGGCCCGGUACUGACGCUGAGGCACGAAAGCGUGGGGAGCAAACAGG